rnacentral:rRNA from 1 species
CGCCAGACUCCUACGGGAGGCAGCAGUGGGGAAUAUUGCACAAUGGGGGAAACCCUGAUGCAGCGACGCCGCGUGAAGGACGAAGUAUUUCGGUACGUAAACUUCUAUCAGCAGGGAAGAAAAUGACGGUACCUGACCAAGAAGCCCCGGCUAACUACGUGCCAGCAGCCGCGGUAAUACGUAGGGGGCAAGCGUUAUCCGGAUUUACUGGGUGUAAAGGGAGCGUAGACGGCCGUGCAAGUCUGAUGUGAAAACCCGGGGCUCAACCCCGGGACUGCAUUGGAAACUGCAUGGCUGGAGUGUCGGAGAGGCAAGUGGAAUUCCUAGUGUAGCGGUGAAAUGCGUAGAUAUUAGGAGGAACACCAGUGGCGAAGGCGACUUCCUGGACAGUAACUGACGUUGAGGCACGAAAGUGUGGGGAGCAAACAGGAUUAGAUACCCCAGUAA